rnacentral:lncRNA from 10 species
UCUGUCUACUCCAUCCAUAUGGUCACUUUAUACUGAGGUUGGGGUUGCUGCUUUUUAAGAGAUGAAAAGAUCCAAGGUGUGACACAGAAUGGAUGACUGGAGUGGAAAAAAUGAAAAUGUCAUUGGAAUAUGGAAGUAAAGAAACUGAGAAGCUGAGAGUUUUUGCAUCAUCCAGUCAGGUAUGGAAAUCACCAAGGAUAAAGGAAGGAACUGGGUUAGAAUGGAAGACCUUUUGCCAGGAAUGGAAGACUUCAGUAAAUGAAGAGAUUUGACUAGGAUGUUGGCAGAAGAUAGUGAGAAGGUCUAAGAAAGGGUGGUAUAUCCAGAUGA